UUGUAUGAAUGGAAUGUCUUUUGUGCUAUAAUGUACAAUAUAAACAACUUUCAACAACGGAUCUCUUGGCUCUCGCAUCGAUGAAGAACGCAGCGAAAUGCGAUAAGUAAUGUGAAUUGCAGAAUUCAGUGAAUCAUCGAAUCUUUGAACGCACCUUGCACCCUUUGGUAUUCCGAAGGGUACGCCCGUUUGAGUGUCAUUGUAAUCUCACUUCAACGACUUUAUUGUUGUUUGAAUGUGGACUUGGAUGUUGCCGUGUCAUUACGGCUCGUCUUAAAUGCUUGAGUGUACCCUGUUUUGCAGUGUAUCCAGUGUAAUAAACAUUUCACUAGAGUUGGUCGAAAGACCGCAUUUGCYAUUCGGGCUCUAUGCUUCGAACCGUCUACUUUGUGGACAAUUUCUUGACAAUUUGACCUCAAAUCGGGUGGGACUACCCGCUGAACUUAAGCAUAUCAAUAAGCGGAGGAAAAGAAACUAACAAGGAUUCCCCUAGUAACGGCGAGUGAAGAGGGAAAAGCUCAAAUUUUGAAUCUGGUGUCUUUGACUCCCGAGUUGUAAUCUAGAGAAGUGUUUUCCGUGUCGGACCGUGUACAAGUUCCCUGGAACGGGGCGUCAUAGAGGGUGAGAAUCCCGUAUAUGCCACGGACUACCGAUGCUCUGUGAUACACUCUCAACGAGUCGAGUUGUUUGGGAAUGCAGCUCAAAAUGGGUGGUAAAUUCCAUCUAAAGCUAAAUAUUGGCGAGAGACCGAUAGCGAACAAGUCCCGUGAGGGAAAGAUGAAAAGCACUUUGGAAAGAGAGUGAAACAGUACGUGAAAUUGUUGAAAGGGAAGCGUUUGAAGUCAGUCACAUCUGUUGGGGUUCAGCCUGGCUUCUGCCUGGUGUAUUUCCUUUCCGAUGGGUCAGCAUCAGUUUCGACCGAGGGAAAAAGACAUUUGGAAUGUGGCUGUCUUCGGGCAGUGUUAUAGCCUUGUGUUGUAUGUCUCGGUUGGGACUGAGGAUUGCAGCGCGCCAUAAAUGGCCGGGGGUCGCUCCUCUCGACACGCGCUUAGGAUGCUGGCAUAAUGGCUUUAAGCGACCCGUCUUGAAACACGGACCAAGGAGUCUAACAUGUGCGCGAGUGUUUGGGUGUUAAACCCGAGCGCGUAAUGAAAGUGAAAGGUCGGGAUCAUUCAUUUGUGCACCGACGCCCGGAGCAGACCUUCUGUGACGCAUCCGCGGUAGAGCGUAUAUGUUGGGACCCGAAAGAUGGUGAACUAUGCCUGAAUAGGGUGAAGCCAGAGGAAACUCUGGUGGAGGCUCGUAGCGAUUCUGACGUGCAAAUCGAUCGUCAAAUUUGGGUAUAGGGGCGAAAGACUAAUCGAACCAUCUAGUAGCUGGUUCCUGCCGAAGUUUCCCUCA
rnacentral:rRNA from 1 species